AGUGAACGCUGGCGGUAGGCCUAACACAUGCAAGUCGAACGGCAGCACAGUAAGAGCUUGCUCUUACGGGUGGCGAGUGGCGGACGGGCGAGGAAUACAUCGGAAUCUACUUUUUCGUGGGGGAUAACGUAGGGAAACUUACGCUAAUACCGCAUACGACCUACGGGUGAAAGCAGGGGAUCUUCGGACCUUGCGCGAUUGAAUGAGCCGAUGUCGGAUUAGCUAGUUGGCGGGGCAAAGGCCCACCAAGGCGACGAUCCGUAGCUGGUCUGAGAGGAUGAUCAGCCACACUGGAACUGAGACACGGUCCAGACUCCUACGGGAGGCAGCAGUGGGGAAUAUUGGACAAUGGGCGCAAGCCUGAUCCAGCCAUACCGCGUGGGUGAAGAAGGCCUUCGGGUUGUAAAGCCCUUUUGUUGGGAAAGAAAAGCAGCAGGUUAAUACCCCGCUGUUCUGACGGUACCCAAAGAAUAAGCACCGGCUAACUUCGUG
rnacentral:rRNA from 1 species